GACGAACGCUGGCGGCGUGCUUAACACAUGCAAGUCGAACGGAAAGGCCCUGCUUUUGUGGGUUGCUCGAGUGGCGAACAGGUGAGUAACACGUGAGUAACCUGCCCUUGACUUUGGGAUAACUUCAGGAAACUGGGGCUAAUACCGGAUAGGAGCUCCUGCUGCAUGGUGGGGGUUGGAAAGUUUCGGCGGUUGGGGAUGGACUCGAGGGUUAUCAGCUUGUUGGUGGGGUAGUUGCUUACCAAGGCUUUGAGGGGUAGCCGGCCUGGGAGGGUGACCGGCCACAUUGGGACUGAGAUACGGCCCAGACUCCUACGGGAGGCAGCAGUGGGGAAUAUUGCACAAUGGGCGGAAGCCUGAUGCAGCAACGCCGCGUGCGGGAUGACGGCCUUCGGGUUGUAAACCGCUUUCGCCUGUGACGAAGCGUGAGUGACGGUAAUGGGUAAAGAAGCACCGGCUAACUACGUG
rnacentral:rRNA from 1 species